rnacentral:rRNA from 1 species
UACGUAGGGGGCUGGCGUUGUCCGGAAUCAUUGGGCGUAAAGAGCGUGUAGGCGGUCCGGUAAGUCCGCUGUGAAAGUCGGGGGCUCAACCCUCGAAUGCCGGUGGAUACUGUCGGGCUAGAGUGCGGAAGAGGCGAGUGGAAUUCCUGGUGUAGCGGUGAAAUGCGCAGAUAUCAGGAGGAACACCGGUGGCGAAGGCGGGUCUCUGGGCCGUAACUGACGCUGAGGAGCGAAAGCGUGGGGAGCGAACAGG